rnacentral:rRNA from 1 species
UACGUAGGGCGCGAGCGUUGUCCGGAAUUAUUGGGCGUAAAGAGCUCGUAGGCGGCCUGUCGCGUCAAUUGUGAAAGCCCAGGGCUUAACCCCGGGUCUGCAGUCGAUACGGGCAGGCUAGAGUGUGGUAGGGGAGAUCGGAAUUCCUGGUGUAGCGGUGAAAUGCGCAGAUAUCAGGAGGAACACCGGUGGCGAAGGCGGAUCUCUAGGCCAUUACUGACGCUGAGGAGCGAAAGCGUGGGGAGCGAACAGG